GGGGUCGAAUCAGAGCUGUAGCUGCCAGUCUACACCACAGCCACAACACCAGAUCUGAGCUGUGUCUUCAACCUACACCACAGCUCAUGGCAACACCGGAUCCUUAAUCCACCGAGCGAGGCCAGGGAUCGAACCUGAGUCCUCAUGGAUACUAGUCAGAUUCGUUUCCACUGAGCCACGAUGGGAACUUCCCAAUGCGAUUAUUUAAAAUUUAAUUUAAUUAUUAUUAUUUUUUUUAUGGCCACACUCACAGCAUAUGGAAGUUUCUAGGCCAGGGAUCAAACCUGAACCUCCACAGCAACCUGAGCCACUGCAGUCGGAUUUUUAAUACAUUGCAUCACAGAGGGAACUCCUCAAAUGUGAUUUUUUGAUAGUUUAUAAUGAAUUGUGUUGACAUUUGGAUGGUCUGCAUGUUUCUGAAAUAGUGUUUUCCCCACAAUUAAUGAAUGGCAUUAGAAAAUCAUGCCUGAGAAAACAUUUUACUCCAAAUGCAAGAUAGACUAAUGGAUCUUAAUGCAGCUGAAUAUAGAGUUCAUUGCUAUGGUUUCAGAAUCCACAUUGCAUCUAAUCUUUAAGAGACUACUGCUUGUCAAAUUUUGGAGGUGUUAAAGAAUAUACAAAAUUAUCUGCAAAGGUUAUUAAGAUACUCUCCUCCCUUUUCCAGUUAGUGUGAGGUCAAAAUUUCCGAAUCCUCAUACACUUCAACCAAAACAACACACUGCAACAGACUGAUGCAAAAACAGUCUGUCCAUGAGAAUCCAUCCAGCUGUCUUCCCAAACUUGAACAAUGCCAUUCUUUCCACUAUUUUUUUUUGUUUUGUUUUGGAAAAUAAGUUAUGUUCAUAGAAAUAGUAUUUAUGUUAACAUGUUAUAGGUUUUUGUCUUACAUCUUUUAUUUAUUUAUUUUUUUUUAGGGCCGUACCCACAGCCUGUGGAGGUCCUAGGCUAGGGGUCGAAUAGGAGUUGCAGCUGCAGGCCUAUGACAUAGCCACAGCCAUGCCAGAUCCAAGCCACAUCUGUGACCUACGCCACAGCUCAUGCUCAGCAAUGCUGAUCCAUAACCCCCUGAGUGAGGCCUGGGAUUGAACCCACAACCUCAUGGUUCCUAGACAGAUUCGUUUCCGCUGCACCACUACAGGAACUCCGACCUAGAGGUUUUUUUGCCACACCUAUGGCAUAUGGACUUUCCCAGGCCAGGGAUCUAAUCUGUGCUGCAGCUGCAAAUCUAUGCAACACCAGAUCCUUAAGCCACUGCACCACAGUGGGAACUCCCUAGGGUUGUUUUUAACAGGCAGCCAGUAUUCUGAUGCCAGUGAUUGGUCCUUGGUUUGAGAAAUGCUGCUCUAAAGGAUCAAAAGCUAUAAAGUUUUCAGAUUAGUAAAGUCAUAUCCACAGGGUUUAGAAAUCAUCGUUUUGGGGAUAGAGGUAAAUGAUAGAUAUGUGGUCUACUAAGGAAAAAUGCUUUGGAGACUUCUUUUUAUUCUGUUUAUUCUUCUUAGUAUUUAUAGCCAUGAAUAUUAGCCAAUGAUGGAUUAUGACUAUCAAAAGAAUCACUUUACUGGAUUAAUGUUUAGUUUGGCUUUACUUAUUUGUUUGGCUGCACCUGUGGCAUGUGGAAGUUCCCAGGCCGGGGCUCGAACCUGUGCCACAGCUGUAACCAAAGCCACAACACCAGAUCCUUAACCUGCUGAGCAGUGAGGGAAUUCUCAGUUUGGUUUUAUUGACAGACUAUCCAUGAAUAUAUCAAGACAGUUUCUUGAUAUAACGCUUGGAUUAAUUUCUAAAGACAAUUCUGGUAAAGAGUUAUUUUUAAAUUCUUUAAGAUGUGUUGUUCUGUUUCAGACCUGUCUUUAACAUUCUUAUAGUAGUGUAAAUGAAGCUCUCAUUUUCCUUUCUUCUUGUAGUUGCUUGUAUAACAAAUUCAAAGAGAAAUUUCCUUGUCAGAGAUCAUGAAGCAGAGAUAAGACUUAAAAACAAAAAAUGUGACUCCACUAGCCUGAAGGUUUGAAGACUCCCAAGUUUGUGUUUUGGUUCUAUCAUUAUCUGUUGUGGCCACUUAGCAUUUCUCUCCUUAUCUAUAAAAUGGGAAUAACAGCCUACACCAUAGAAUGUUAUAUUAUCUUGGGACCUCGGGGGUUCUCUUUGGCUGAGUGAUUGACUAGAAGAAAAUCCAAUGUGAAUUCAUGUUUCAGGCCAGGGGUUGAAUGGGAGCCACAGCUUUGGGCAAUGCUGGGUCCUUAACCCACUGAGUCACAGGGGAACUCCUGGGUGUCAUUUUUAGAAUUUAGAUCAUAAACUACUCCCAACCCAAACUGGAAUAGUGUCUCUAAAUUCUAAAUUAUUAUCUUCUGGAGUUCCUGCUGUGGCACAGUGGGUUAAGGAUCUGGUGUUGUCAUAGCAGAUGCAGCUCUCUCUCUGGCCUGGGAACUUC
rnacentral:lncRNA from 1 species